GACAGAGGGUGCAAGCGUUGUUCGGAAUUAUUGGGCGUAAAGGGCGCGUAGGCGGUCUGUUAAGUCGGGUGUGAAAGCCCUGGGCUCACCCCAGGAAGUGCAUUCGAAACUGGCAGACUCGAGUGUCGGAGAGGGUCGUGGAAUUCCCGGUGUGGAGGUGAAAUUCGUAGAUAUCGGGAGGAACACCAGCGGCGAAGGCGGCGACCUGGACGAACACUGACGCUGAGGCGCGAAAGCGUGGGGAGCAAAC
rnacentral:rRNA from 1 species